AAAUUUGAGCUAGGGGAAUGGGAUGCAAUGACACGAUUUUCACCCCAAUCCCAAGAUGAUUUGCCAUCGCGGUUUGGUUUGCUGGAUUUGCUGGAUUUGCGAAGCACUUGAAAGCAUUUUACGCUUACGUUAGCACUUUUUAUGGCCACGACUGAGCUGCCGGCGAAUCAGCAAUAAGCAUAUUGGUUUUUGCGGUUGUAAUGAGCUCUUCGCUUUUCCGCAGGCAAAUGCGAAUUCUUCAGUAAAUAUAUAUAUAUUUUCCUCGCAUUUCU
ensembl:ncRNA lncRNA:CR44979 long non-coding RNA:CR44979